rnacentral:rRNA from 1 species
UACGUAGGGUGCGAGCGUUGUCCGGAAUUACUGGGCGUAAAGAGCUUGUAGGUGGUUUGUCGCGUUGUUCGUGAAAUCUCACGGCUUAACUGUGAGCGUGCGGGCGAUACGGGCAGACUAGAGUACUGCAGGGGAGACUGGAAUUCCUGGUGUAGCGGUGGAAUGCGCAGAUAUCAGGAGGAACACCGGUGGGGAAGGCGGUUCUCUGGGACGGUAAUGACGGUGAGACGCGAAAGCGUGGGGAGCGAACAGG